rnacentral:rRNA from 1 species
GACGAACGCUGGCGGCGUGCUUAACACAUGCAAGUCGAACGGAGCGAAUGAAAGCUUGCUUUUAUAAGCUUAGUGGCAAACGGGUGAGUAACACGUAGGCAACCUGCCGACAGGAUGGGGACAACAUUCCGAAAGGAAUGCUAAUACCGAAUGAAGCGCAGGAGAGGCAUCUCUCCUGCGUGAAAGAUGGCCUCUAUAUAUAAGCUAUCACCUGUCGAUGGGCCUGCGUCUGAUUAGCUGGUAGGUGAGGUAACGGCUCACCUAGGCGACGAUCAGUAGCCGGUCUGAGAGGAUGAACGGCCACAUUGGGACUGAGACACGGCCCAGACUCCUACGGGAGGCAGCAGUGGGGAAUCUUCCGCAAUGGGCGCAAGCCUGACGGAGCAACGCCGCGUGAGUGAAGAAGGUCUUCGGAUCGCAAAGCUCUGUUGAUGGGGACGAACGUGCCUAAUGCGAAUAGUUUAGUAA